GGCGGCAUGCCUUACACAUGCAAGUCGAACGGCAGCGCGGGAGCAAUCCUGGCGGCGAGUGGCGAACGGGUGAGUAAUAUAUCGGAACGUGCCCUAGAGUGGGGGAUAACGUAGCGAAAGUUACGCUAAUACCGCAUACGAUCUAAGGAUGAAAGUGGGGGAUCGCAAGACCUCAUGCUCAUGGAGCGGCCGAUAUCUGAUUAGCUAGUUGGUAGGGUAAAAGCCUACCAAGGCGACGAUCAGUAGCUGGUCUGAGAGGACGACCAGCCACACUGGGACUGAGACACGGCCCAGACUCCUACGGGAGGCAGCAGUGGGGAAUUUUGGACAAUGGGGGCAACCCUGAUCCAGCAAUGCCGCGUGAGUGAAGAAGGCCUUCGGGUUGUAAAGCUCUUUUGUCCGGGAAGAAACGGUCGUUUCUAAUAAAGGCGACUAAUGACGGUACCGGAAGAAUAAGCACCGGCUAACUACGUGCCAGCAGCCGCGGUAAUACGUAGGGUGCAAGCGUUAAUCGGAAUUACUGGGCGUAAAGCGUGCGCAGGCGGUUGUGCAAGACAGAUGUGAAAUCCCCGGGCUUAACCUGGGAAUUGCAUUUGUGA
rnacentral:rRNA from 1 species